GCAACCUUAAACUCUCCAUCGCUGAUUCAGCUUCCAGGGAAGAGAGACCCCGCCUGCAGCGACUGCAUCACUCCGCAUGGGCCGCCAUCCCUAUCUGGAUCCCCUUUUACUACGGUCCCACAUGUGUCACCUACUCCUCCUCCUCCUCCUUCUCCUCCACUCUGUCACCUUUAGGACCAGACUUGCUCCAAAAAUGCUUUGCUAAAGCUGGUAAAAUGGAACCAAAUCAACUGUUCAAUGGAUUUGGUCCCCUUCAACCAGCUGUAGCUGUGCAUUGAUCACUCCGAGAUCACACACAUGCAGAGAGACAAACGACUGGAUGGACAGACUCGAGCCAGUUCAGUGGGAAACAGCUCUGACGUGCAAAACUGAAACUACAUCAGCUUCCUCGCCGAAAAACAAUUGGACUGAGACACAGGCGCUCAGCCAGGGAUAAAUGCACAGCAUGCACCAGUUGCUGUGUGGAUUCAACUCUAUCACCUAAAGAUUCCCCAAAAGACAUCCAAGUCAUUUGCUAAAUCCGAAUAAAACAUGACAGGUAAGUAAUUAAGAGAUACUGUAUCUCGGUGAAUUUUUAUUUUUGUUUUGUGGCGCUGAAAGUGCAUUGUCCUUUGGAGACUUUUUGAAUUGUUCUUUGCAGAUAAAAAAGAAAAAUUUGUGUUUGGUCCAUGAAUUGCCCUUAUGUGUUUGUGUUUGUGUGUGUGCGUGUGUGUUUAUGUUUGUGUGGUAUGGUUGAAGAGCUAUCGAGUGUAAGAACAGAUGCUGUGUAAGGAAAGCACUUGUGCGUGUAUGUGUGUGUGUGUGUUUGACUCCUAAUGCACAUGUCUGAUCAAUAAAGCUCAAUCCUGAAGUUCA